UAAGGAAUAUUGGACAAUGGACGGAAGUCUGAUCCAGCCAUGCCGCGUGCAGGAUGAAGGCGCUCAGCGUUGUAAACUGCUUUUGGAUGGGAAUAAUAACCUCGACGUGUUCGGGGCUUGAAGGUACCAUCAGAAUAAGCACCGGCUAACUCCGUGCCAGCAGCCGCGGUAAUACGGAGGGUGCAAGCGUUAUCCGGAAUCACUGGGUUUAAAGGGUGCGUAGGCGGCGCGAUAAGUCAGUUGUGAAAUUCCCCGGCUUAACCGGCGGGACUGCGAUUGAUACUGUCGUGCUUGAAUCAGGUUGAGGUAGGCGGAAUGUGGCAUGUAGCGGUGAAAUGCUUAGAUAUGCCAUAGAACACCGAUUGCGAAGGCAGCUUGCUGGACCUCGAUUGACGCUGAGGCACGAAAGCGUGGGGAGCAAACAGG
rnacentral:rRNA from 1 species